rnacentral:rRNA from 1 species
AGUAAUACAUCGGAACGUGUCUUCUAGUGGGGGAUAACUGCCCGAAAGGGCAGCUGAUACCGCAUGAGACCUGAGGGUGAAAGCGGGGGAUCGCAAGACCUCGCGCUGGAAGAGCGGCCGAUGUCCGAUUAGCUAGUUGGUGAGGUAAAGGCUCACCAAGGCGACGAUCGGUAGCUGGUCUGAGAGGACGACCAGCCACACUGGGACUGAGACACGGCCCAG